UGGUGUAAGGAAGAUAAAAAGCAGAUGGAAUAGCAAUAACAACAACUAAAGGACAGAAAAACCUAGCAACCACAAGGCAAGAGCAAGAUAAAAAUAAGAAUAAUAAAAGAUAAAUGCACGAAUUCCUAAACACCUUCCUCCUCUUCUCUCAGGAGUUCCAAUGCCUGAAUAGGAAAAUAACAGACAUCCCAGAAGAAUACUGAACAAUGCAUACAAAUAAGUACAUCGCUGAAGAAGCAAACUGCCCAAUAAAGUCUUCAAUCUCUGUGGUGGUAAGAAUGAUCAGGAAA